GACUACUGGGGUAUCUAAUCCUGUUUGCUACCCACGCUUUCGUGACUCAGCGUCAGUUACAGUCCAGUAAGUCGCCUUCGCCACUGGUGUUCCUCCUAAUAUCUACGCAUUUCACCGCUACACUAGGAAUUCCACUUACCUCUCCUGCACUCAAGUCAUACAGUUUCAAAUGCCAACUAUGGUUAAGCCAUAGCCUUUUACAUCUGACACAUAUAACCGCCUACUCACCCUUUACGCCCAGUAAAUCCGGACAACGCUCGCCCCCUACGUAUUACCGCGGCUGCUGGCACGUAGUUAGCCGGGGCUUCCUCCUUGGCUACCGUCAUUUUUUUCGUCACCAAGGACAGAGUUUUACGAUCCGAAGACCUUCUUCACUCACGCGGCGUCGCUGCAUCAGGGUUUCCCCCAUUGUGCAAUAUUCCCCACUGCAGCCCCCCGUAGG
rnacentral:rRNA from 1 species